CAGACAUGUGCUUCAGCCUCCUGUGCUGUGUGACCUUUUUUUUCUGGGGAGCAGGGUCCAUGGACACCGAGGUCAUCCAGAGUCCAAGUCAUCUGGUCAAAGGAAAAGACCAGAAAGCAAAGAUGGAUUGUGUCCCCAUAAAAGGACAUAUUAAUGUUUACUGGUAUCGCAAGAAGCUGGAAGAACCAUUCGAGUUUUUGGUUUACUUACACAAUCAAGACACUGUGGAAGAUACAGAAGUGUUCAAACAGCGAUUUUCAGCUGAGUGCCCACAAAACUCACCCUGCAGCCUGGAAAUCAAGUCCACCGAGGCAGCAGACUCAGCUCUGUAUUUCUGUGCCAGCAGCCAGUCCACAGUGCAGCACGUCAGCUCUUCCUAGAACACAAACUCACCGUGAACCCAGCUCAGGAAAUCAGUGAUGUCGUAGGAGGGUAGGAACUAACAGAAACUCACCUUGAAAGAGCAUAAACCAGAAAG